CAAAGUUUCAAAAAUUAAGUUGUAAGUUUGAAGUAGUAUUUUUGUUCCCAAGAUUUGUCACAAGUCACAAAUUUGUCACAAGUUUCGGAAAGUUUUUUUCGAUUAUGGCUCUGUGUGACGUUAGAUGGAGCGGAAUUUCCUUAUAUGGGUCUUGAGGGCACUUCUGCCGAAGAGCACGCGCUCCCGUAUAGCACAGCACUGAGAGCACAGACAUUCACUUAUCAGAGCGAGAGCGUCGCGAAAUGUCACAAAAGGAGUGUGUUUUUGGUUGCCAGGGCAAGACAACCCUGCACAGAUUACAAAAAAAAAAACAGCAUUAAGGGACCAGUGGAUGGAUUUUAUUUUUACAGAGCAUCAACGGAGUAGUGCAAGUGUUUUUGUUUGUUCCCUGCAUUUCGAAGAUGCUUGUUUUACAAACAAGGCCCAGUUUGACGACGGAUUUGCGUAUCGUUUAUUUCUUAAGGAUGAUGCAAUCCCAACGAAAAAGGGUCACGAUCGUGUGUUGGAACCGCAGGCGGGAAGCACAUCUGGAGCAGAAGCACUGCACACCCACACCUCCUCUCUUCUGCAGGUGGAGGUGUGAGAAGAUGUUGUGAUCGCAGUGGAGACUCCAGCUGCUCUCUCACGAGGUGUCAUGGCUGACUCGCUCUUCCUCUGCACAGAAAAAAAAACCUUGCCACUUUCUUUGAGUAAGCAUAAUUAAACACAGAGGAAAAAUGACUGGAAGACAGACGGCUGAAUAGCCAGAAGAGGUAGUGGAGGACUUUGUUAUGGAGAUAAUUAAGUUUUGUUAGUUUCUUUGUUUCUUUGUGUGUUUUGACCAAUGUUAUGGUCAUUAGUUUGGUAUUUUUGGGAAGCUCUAAUAUAGGCACUUGAUAAUACUGAUCACUGAUUAUCAAGAAUCACUCUUACAAUUUGCUUUCUUAACAUUCUUUGACAAAUGUGAGUGCAGUUGUCACAGCUGUUUUAUGGGACAUCACAAUUGUCUACAAUACAUUUGCAAAAUGCAAUAAUUAACCCAAAACAUUUCAUUCAUAUAUCAAAACAUAGUUAUUGAAC
rnacentral:lncRNA from 1 species